rnacentral:tRNA from 1 species
UGCGGAUUAGUGUAAUGGUAACAUAUCUGGCUCAUGACCAGAUGAUUUAGGUUCAAGUCCUUUGUCCGCAA